rnacentral:rRNA from 1 species
GUGCCUGCCGCCGCGGUAAUACAUAGGGGGCAAGCGUUGUCCGGAAUGACUGGGCGUAAAGGGCGCGUAGGUGGCCUUGCAAGUCCGGAGUGAAAGUCCCGUUUUUAAGGUGGGAAUGGCUUUGGAAACCGUGAGGCUUGAGUGUGGGAGAGGAUAGCGGAAUUCCCGGUGUAGCGGUGAAAUGCGUAGAGAUCGGGAGGUACACCAGUGGCGAAGGCGGCUAUCUGGACCAAGACUGACACUGAAGCGC